rnacentral:rRNA from 1 species
CGUGCAGAGGCGGGGAUAAUUACAUAAGACGAGAAGACCCUAUGGAGCUUUAGACCUAAAGUAAGUCACGUUUAACAUGCUGUGAUAACAGUAAAAACUUAGUGAUAUUUACUGAAGUGUCUUUGGUUGGGGCGACCGCGGGGUAAAACACAACCCCCAUGUGGACCGGGGAUAUUAUCCCUAAUACUCAGAGCCUCUACUCCAAGUAACAGAAAUUCUGACUUUUCUGAUCCGGUAUAACCGAUCAACGAACCGAGUUAC